rnacentral:rRNA from 1 species
GAGGAAUAUUGGUCAAUGGGCGGGAGCCUGAACCAGCCAAGCCGCGUGAGGGAGGAAGGCCCUACGGGUCGUAAACCUCUUUUGUCAGGGAACAAAAGGCCCUACGUGUGGGGCUCCGAGCGUACCUGAAGAAAAAGCAUCGGCUAACUCCGUGCCAGCAGCCGCGGUAAUACGGAGGAUGCGAGCGUUAUCCGGAUUUAUUGGGUUUAAAGGGUGCGUAGGCGGCAAGUCAAGUCAGCGGUAAAAGCCCGGGGCUCAACCCCGGCGAGCCGUUGAAACUGACGGGCUAGAGACGGCGAGAGGUACGCGGAAUGCGCAGUGUAGCGGUGAAAUGCAUAGAUAUUGCGCAGAACUCCGAUUGCGAAGGCAGCGUACUGGCGCCGGACUGACGCUGAGGCACGAAAGCGUGGGGAUCGAACAGGCUUAGAUACCCUGGUAGUCCACGCAGUAAACGAUGAAUGCCGGCUGUUCGGGUCG